GUUCUUUAAAACACCUGUGAAUUUGAAAAAAACACAAAUGUUUUUGUCUUCUAGUCAAAUGAUCUCAGAGAUAGGGAAACAUAGACUACAUGAAGUUGAUACAUUUUUACCAUAUAGACAUUGUGAGGACAUCCUUUGUCACUUGCCAAAAAAAAAUGUGGAUUUCCAGAAGAUGAAAACAUGGAAGAAAACAAUGGAUUUAUAAUAUUUGAGACAUGCUCCUGAUACUAUUCGAUUUUAGAAGAAGAUAACUAGGGACUAUAGAGGGGGCCAGAAAAAAGACAAUGAAUUCUAGAAUAUAAUCUGGAACCAGAGAAGGAUGGAGAGCCAAAGAAAGUGAAGCCAGAUGCAGAAGUGGACGUCUUCAUCUUCAAUAACACUGAAAAGAAUGUGAAACUUUCCCUAAGAUGAAGAAGUGAAGCAAAAUGGGAGAUACGAAAAAGGACUUAGAAUACCCAUGGCAUAAACCCAAAAGUAAGAGCAAGAGGAUGGAGCAAUCCCAGUGCCAAGCAGGUUGUGCAGGAUAGCGUCCUUUCGUUAUAGUAGCUCAGUUUCAAGGUAAAUGAAUAUGGGAGGAAAAUUCUCGCACGUAUUUUGUCUAAAGAAAGGGAAUGAGAAUUCUCUUAAGAGCAAGAGAAGUUUGAAACCUAUGUCAAGACUUGCACCUUGCAUCUUCUGGAGAUCUUCAGGAGAGUGGGCUCUUCCGGAGAGUCCCGCUGCCAUCACAGCAACAGAAAACCAAUUAUAAUGACUUUGUGACUGAUGCGGUGCAAUCCCAGUACAUCAGAGUAGCUGGGUGAAAGAUGAAACUACCCUGAAAACUGCACCACAGGAAGCUCUGAUAGCGAACAAGGGGACCUUACUUCUCAUGGCUGUAACAAGAGGAAAGGCCAGCAGAUGGCAGCAUGGACUACCGCACAGUGGGGGAAUCCAGCCAUCUUAAGAAAGGCCUGCCACUUGUGGCUGCCUCCUCCAUAGAUGUGAAGAUGAACUAAAAAUGCUGAAGCUCCAGACACAUUAUCCAAUACCAUGGCUCCAGGCGACCCUGUAGUUUCCAUACCUCUCCAGGAAGAAGUGGAGCAAGAGGAAUUGAGGAAACUCAGCGCUGACAUGGUUGAAACUGAACUUACUGUGAUGACUAGAAUAUGUACACCUAUUAUUGGGUGUAACAGGAGGGAUGCAUGGAAGAUACUGAAAAAUACAAGUUAAGUUUGGCUAUUCAAAAGGAUGGUGUCAACAUGUAAUAUAUGCAAAUAUAUGAGAAAAUCUUUAGAAAUAAUACUUUUUUUCCCAUGGCACAAAUCUUUUAUCAAAAGACAAAGUAUGUGUCUCCCCUUAAGAAGCCAUGACCACAUUUGUGUAUAUUCCCAUUCUCUUGGGUAUCUUUGUAAGCUUCUCUAAUGCUUAAACCUAAAUUAAAAUAUUUUUAAUAAAAUCUUGCUCUGCUUUCCAAGGAGAUAAAGGAUAACAAAUAUAAUGAGCAUACCCAAACAAGAGCCUAAAUUCUAUCAUAUGCAAAACCCCUUACUACCCCCUACCCCAAUUACUUUUCAUUAGGCAAAAAGGACAAGAAGGAGAAUUAUACAAUAAAAACUGGGACAUUCAUCCAUCUGGAGUAUGCUCUCAUUACAACAGAACAAAGCAAGCAAUACAAUGAGUUGUCCAAAUUUUAACUUUGCACAUUGAAAGAAACUUGUUUUUCCUAUCUGGUAUGUUCAAUAUUGAAAAAUUGGAGUAUUUGACUCUAGAUGAUGUUAGCUACAGCUACAUUAUCAAAGAAUCCAUAUGCAAGUGGUCCUUGCCCUCUUUGUCCAGGCCAGAGGAAUUCUGUAUGAAAAUCGUUAACUGAUUUCAAGUGUCUAAGGUUCUAAUAUGGCUAGCUACAAAGAUCUAUUCAUUCUAACUUUUUUUCAUUUUUCUC
ensembl:lncRNA